rnacentral:rRNA from 1 species
AUUGAACGCUGGCGGAAUGCUUUACACAUGCAAGUCGAACGGCAGCACGGGGGCAACCCUGGUGGCGAGUGGCGAACGGGUGAGUAAUACAUCGGAACGUGCCCAGUCGUGGGGGAUAACGUAGCGAAAGUUACGCUAAUACCGCAUACGAUCUACGGAUGAAGGCGGGGGACCGUAAGGCCUCGCGCGAUUGGAGCGGCCGAUGUCAGAUUAGGUAGUUGGUGAGGUAAAGGCUCACCAAGCCGACGAUCUGUAGCUGGUCUGAGAGGACGACCAGCCACAUUGGGACUGAGACACGGCCCAGACUCCGACGGGAGGCAGCAGUGGGGAAUUAUGGACGAUGGACGCAAGUCUGAUCCAGCCAUUCCGCGUGCAGGAUGAAGGCCCUCGGGUUGUAAGCUGCUUUUGUACGGAACGAAAAGGUCCCUCUUAAUACGGGGGACUCAUGACGGUACCGUAAGAAUAAGCACCGGCUAACUACGUGCCAGCCGCCGCGGUAA